UUCCUUUUCUUACACUAAAAAUGGAAUAUUUACAAAUGGCCAAAGAACAAAAACAAAACAAAAAAGCAAAAACUAGAAGGAAGCAUUACACACAAGUCAUGGUUCCAGAUACAUGAUUGGAAAAGCAGUAGAUACAUGAUUGGAAAAGCGGUAGGAGCAAGCAACACAAUGACGAACAUCAACUUCCACACUACAAAAGUUGUUUCUAUUUGUUGCUAAUGCUAAUUUGAUAUCACCAACAUGAAUCAUUUCUUCAACCCUUCGACUGAGAAGCAAUUCCUGUUUGAUUGUGUGAGGUUUCCCAAUUUUUCCCAUCAUAAUACUUAACCUCAAUAUGGGUUAGUGUUCCAGGAUCAACACACGUAAAUGUGAUGGAAACGCCAUCAGGGUUGGAGCGUGGAUAAUAAAAUGAAGUUAUCCCACAAACCUUACAAAACUUAUGCUUCGCCGUAUGAGUACCGAAGCUGUAAGUAGUAAGAAACUGUUCAGAAUCACCCAAAAGCUCAAAUCUGUCAGCAGGGACAAUAAAAUGAGUGUUGCCCCUCAUAGAGCAAUUCGAGCAGUUGCAACUCCAAGCCACAACUCCGGUAGGCGCUUGCACUCGCCAUCUUACUUUCUUGCAAUGGCACCCACCUUCAUGCGCUACCAUCUCAGAGUCCAUGCCUCAAGAUUCUAAUUCUUCAACAGGGCCAAUGACUAGGAUUACCUCUUCUAAUUUAUAAAUGCACCCGCUCUGACCU
rnacentral:lncRNA from 1 species